AGUUGUUUUCUUCUUCUGUCUUGUUCUGUUUUCUUCUGUCAUUAGAUGUCAGCAUCAGACCUUUAUGUUAAGAGGAGGAUCCUCUAUGACACCACCUACCUAAGGAUUAAAUGUCUUCACCAAUGCUGUUUGAGGACUGACGCUCAGAAAGAAGCUGGAAAUAUGAAGUAUAGCUGCUGAUGCAUGAAGGGAAAUAUUAAACUUUAUCAGCCCAAACAAUCUGGCCUUGAAUUAUUUAAUGCAACCAAAGAUUUAAAGAACAGAAAAUGAUCUUUUUUCUUUGCAUUGCUUUCACCAACAUUCUGGUUUCAGGUUCUUCUCUCAGUGACAAAGUCCAACAGAAACCAGCAGAAAUGUAUAAAACACUUGAAGGAAAAGCCAAGAUUAAUUGUUCCCAUAAUGAUGGUACAAGCAAACAAAAACAGACCUACAGCUCCUUGGAUACUGUUAUGUAGGCUCUGGAAGCAUAGAGAAAGGGGUAAAUGUGAACAUCAAAGGAGCUGCAAAUAAAGGCGACACCUGCACAUUAACGAUUGAAGGACUCGAUCUGAGCAGCAGUGCAGUUUACUUCUGUGCUGCUAGUUUACACAGUGCUGCAUGUCUCUGCUCCUCAAUACAAAAACCUCAUCAGUAUUUCCCAUGUGUGUUUUACAGCUCAGAGAACCUUUCAUGUGAGUUAUCUUCUGUCAUUAGAUGGCAGCAUCAGACCUUUAUGUGAAGAGGAGGAUCCUCUAUGACACCACCCAUCUAAGGAUCACGUCUGUUCAUCAUUGCUGAUUGAGGACCGACUCAGAAAGAAGUUGGAAAUGAUUAAACUCCUUGUGCAAUAAGUGAAAAUAUUGAAUUAUUCUGAUUCUAUUCUAUCUUUUCUGAUUAUUUUUAAUACAUUAAAACUUUUAGAGAGCAGAAAAUGAUCAUCUUUUUUCUUUGCAUUGCUUUUAACAUCCUGAUGGUUUCAGGUGCUUCAUACAGUGACGAAAUCCAACAGGAACCAGCAGAAACGUAC